rnacentral:lncRNA from 1 species
AGAAAGAAGAAAAAGAAAAGGUUGAAGAUGAAAGGCUUGAUCAUUGAGUUUAAAAGGAGUCCCAAGGGAAUUAAAGUCAUAAGAAAAGAAGCUCUAGUAUCUAAGUAAAAGAAAGAACAAAAUGGGCAAGAUAGUCCCCAAAAGAAAAGUCUUGCAAAGGAUGAGAAAGAAGGUGGGAUUAAAUAAGAGCUUAGUGUUUAAAGAAAAGGUUCACUAGGUGGCUAAUGAAUAAUAAUGUCUUGAUCAUGAGGGUUGUGUUUUGAUAAGAAAAGAGACCAAAAGUGUCCAAUGGGUAUGGUUUGAAAAGAAAAAUAAAAAGGUUUGCAAAGGGUAGAGAUUAGGAUCUUAUAUCUAAGAUGGGUAGAACAACAAGAGCUAAUCUUUGUAUGCAUAAAUUGUUCUUUGUCUUAGAUGGAUUUCAUGAUUGUCUAGCAUUCCUUUCAUUUGAGAGUUAGUCACCCAAAGAAACAAACAAACAAAGCCACCUCAAAAAGCCUUUGCACUAAACCGAUUGAGAAUGAUUCACUUACCAUUUGCGAGACCGCGCCAAACACUUUAAUGAAUGUUAAAGAGAUGUUUCAACUUGAUUGUGAGUCUUUGCUAAUAGUUUGAGAAUGAACUAGAAUUAUGCAUUAACUUGAGUAUGAGAAAAUAUUUGAGAGUACGAUGAUUGAUUCAAGCACCUUUGAACUAUCUUUGAGGACUUUUGUUUGAAUCAUUUGCUUGAUAUUUUGGGGUUAUUGAAUUCCUCCUUCACACUUCUUCUCUUGGCCUUUAUUUAGACUGUUUGCUUGAGGAAAAGCAAAAGGCAAGUCUGGG